rnacentral:tRNA from 1 species
AUUUGAGUAGCUUAAGUUAGAGUAUAAUAUUGAAGAUAUUAGGGUGAUACUGAUCCUUAAAUA